AAUCACAUCCAUUGUAAGUCGCUCUGGAUAAGAGCGUCUGCUAAAUGACGUAAA
rfam:Salmo salar isolate Sally breed double haploid chromosome ssa01, whole genome shotgun sequence.